rfam:Conidiobolus coronatus NRRL 28638 unplaced genomic scaffold CONCOscaffold_333, whole genome shotgun sequence.
GGUCUCAUGGUGUAAUGGUCAGCACCCAGGAUUCUGAUUCCUGUAAUCUGAGUUCGAUUCUCAGUGAGACCU